CCUGGAUCAUAAUCAAUUUUUUGAUCUUUUUCUUGAUCUUUUUUUCUCUUCUUCUCUUGCUUUUUUUUCUUUGAUUAUGAAGCAAUCAAGGACUGAAAAAUCAGCAAGCAAAGGGAUGCCCAAGCUCCUCUUGGGCGUGGAGAAGUGGGACGCCCAACACCUUGAGCGUUGGACUUCAAGGGGAGAAGAGAGAGGGGGCAUGGGGAGAUUCUAAGGGAGG
rnacentral:lncRNA from 1 species